rnacentral:misc_RNA from 1 species
UGGAGAGCACAUCCCACAUCUUGAAUC